UACGUAGGGUGCAAGCGUUAAUCGGAAUUACUGGGCGUAAAGCGUGCGCAGGCGGUGAUGUAAGACAGAUGUGAAAUCCCCGGGCUCAACCUGGGAACUGCAUUUGUGACUGCAUCGCUGGAGUGCGGCAGAGGGGGAUGGAAUUCCGCGUGUAGCAGUGAAAUGCGUAGAUAUGCGGAGGAACACCGAUGGCGAAGGCAGUCCCCUGGGCCUGUACUGACGCUCAUGCACGAAAGCGUGGGGGCAACAGG
rnacentral:rRNA from 1 species